rnacentral:rRNA from 1 species
CCCUUAGAUGUCCUGGGCCGCACGCGCGCUACACUGACAUGUUCAACAAGCCUCCUAGUUCGACAGGAUUUGGGAAAUCUUUGAACGCAUGUCGUGAUAGGGAUAGAUCAUUGCAAUUAUUGAUCUUGAACGAGGAAUUCCUAGUAAACGCGAGUCAUCAGCUCGCAUUGAUUACGUCCCUGCCCUUUGUACACACCGCCCGUCGCACCUACCGAUUGAAUGUUUCGGUGAAGAUUCCGGAUAGGACUUUUUUGAUUUAUUUCAAUUUUGUCUUAAAAGCCAUCUAAACCUCAACAUUUAGAGGAAGGUGAAGUCGUAACA